rnacentral:rRNA from 1 species
UACGUAGGUGGCAAGCGUUGUUCGGAAUUAUUGGGCGUAAAGGGCGCGUAGGCGGUCUGCUAAGUCAGCUGUGAAAGCCCGGGGCUCAACCCCGGAGGGUCGGCUGAUACUGGUUGACUAGAGUACGGAAGAGGUAGCUGGAAUUCCCGGUGUAGCGGUGAAAUGCGUAGAUAUCCGGAGGAACACCGGUGGCGAAGGCGGCUUCCUGGACCGACACUGACGCUGAGGCGCGAAAGCUAGGGGAGCAAACGGG